CAAAACCGGCAGUUACUUUUGC
rnacentral:miRNA from 1 species